rnacentral:rRNA from 1 species
UGUCUAAAUAAAACAAAGCAUUGCGAUGGCCGCUGGUCGGUGUUGACGCAAUGUGAUUUCUGCCCAGUGCUCUGAAUGUCAACGUGAAGAGAUUCAUCAAAGCGCGUGUAAACGGCGGGAGUAACCGUGACUCUCUUGUCAAAUGCCUAUGACUAUGACUCUCUUGCCAAAUGCCUCGUCAUCUGAUUAGAAAAAAAAACGAGAU